GCGGCAGGCCUAACACAUGCAAGUCGAGCGGUAACACAGAGAGCUUGCUCUCGGGUGACGAGCGGCGGACGGGUGAGUAAUGUCUGGGAAACUGCCUGAUGGAGGGGGAUAACUACUGGAAACGGUAGCUAAUACCGCAUAACGUCGCAAGACCAAAGUGGGGGACCUUCGGGCCUCAUGCCAUCAGAUGUGCCCAGAUGGGAUUAGCUAGUAGGUGGGGUAAUGGCUCACCUAGGCGACGAUCCCUAGCUGGUCUGAGAGGAUGACCAGCCACACUGGAACUGAGACACGGUCCAGACUCCUACGGGAGGCAGC
rnacentral:rRNA from 1 species